rnacentral:rRNA from 1 species
GACGAACGCUGGCGGCGUGCUUAACACAUGCAAGUCGAACGGAAAGGCCCUGCUUUUGUGGGGUGCUCGAGUGGCGAACGGGUGAGUAACACGUGAGUAACCUGCCCUUGACUUUGGGAUAACUUCAGGAAACUGGGGCUAAUACCGGAUAGGAGCUCCUGCUGCAUGGUGGGGGUUGGAAAGUUUCGGCGGUUGGGGUUGGACUCGCGGCUUAUCAGCUUGUUGGUGGGGUAGUGGCUUACCAAGGCUUUGACGGGUAGCCGGCCUGAGAGGGUGACCGGCCAAAUUGGGACUGAGAUACGGCCCAGACUCCUACGGGAGGCAACAGUGGGGAAUAUUGCACAAUGGGCGGAAGCCUGAUGCAGCAACGCCGCGUGCGGGAUGACGGCCUUCGGGUUGUAAACCGCUUUCGCCUGUGACGAAGCGUGAGUGACGGUAAUGGGUAAAGAAGCACCGGCUAAGUACGUG